AAUAUUGGACAAUGGGGGAAACCCUGAUCCAGCCAUCCCGCGUGUAUGAUGAAGGCCUUCGGGUUGUAAAGCACUUUAAGUUGGGAGGAAGGGCAGUAAGUUAAUACCUUGCUGUUUUGACGUUACCAACAGAAUAAGCACCGGCUAACUUCGUGCCAGCAGCCGCGGUAAUACGAAGGGUGCAAGCGUUAAUCGGAAUUACUGGGCGUAAAGCGCGCGUAGGUGGUUCGUUAAGUUGGAAGUGAAAGCCCCGGGCUUAACCUGGGAAUUGCUUUCAAAACUGACGAGCUAGAGUACGGUAGAGGGUAGUGGAAUUUCCUGCGUAGCGGUGAAAUGCGUAGAUAUAGGAAGGAACAUCAGUGGCGAAGGCGACUACCUGGACUGAUACUGACACUGAGGUGCGAAAGCGUGGGGAGCAAACAGG
rnacentral:rRNA from 1 species